AAAGUCGUAACAAGGUUUCCGUAGGUGAACCUGCGGAAGGAUCAUUACCUAGAGUUUGUAGACUUCGGUCUGCUACCUCUUACCCAUGUCUUUUGAGUACCUUCGUUUCCUCGGUGGGUUCGCCCGCCGAUUGGACAACACUUAAACCCUUUGUAAUUGAAAUCAGCGUCUGAAAAAACUUAAUAGUUACAACUUUCAACAACGGAUCUCUUGGUUCUG
rnacentral:misc_RNA from 1 species